AGCUUUGCACAGUGGCAGUAUCGUAGCCAAUGAGGUUUAUCUGAGGCGUGAUUAUUGCUAAUUGAAAACUUUCCUAAAAAUAUCCUUCCCUGUUGGGGCACCUCGGUGGUUCAGUUGGUUGAGCAUUUGACUUUGGCUCAGGUCA
ensembl:snRNA U4 U4 spliceosomal RNA